rnacentral:rRNA from 1 species
GGGGAAUUUUCCGCAAUGGGCGNAAGCCUGACCGGAGCAAUACCGCGUGAGGGAGGAAGGCUNCUUGGGUUGUAAACCUCUUUUCUCAGGGAAUAAGAACUGAAGGUACCUGAGGAAUCAGCAUCGGCUAACUCCGUGCCAGCAGCCGCGGUAAUACCGGAGGAUGCAAGCGUUAUCCGGAAUGAUUGGGCGUAAAGCGUCCGCAGGUGGUUUAUCAAGUCUGCUGUCAAAGAGUUUGGCUCAACCAAAUAAAGGCAGUGGAAACUGACAGACUGGAGUGCGGUAAGGGCAGAGGGAAUUCCUGGUGUAGCGGUGAAAUGCGUAGAGAUCAGGAAGAACACCGGUGGCGAAAGCGCUCUGCUGGGCCGUAACUGACACUGAGGGACGAAAGCUAGGGGAGCGAAUGGGAUUAGAUACCCCAGUAGUC